rnacentral:rRNA from 1 species
UGGAGCGACGAACCAGGGCUUGCCCUGGGGCAGAGCCGCGAACGGGUGAGUAACACGUGGGUUAUCUGCCUUGAUGACCGGGACAACCCGAGGAAACUCGGGCUAAUACCGGAUGUGCCCGCAAGGGGAAAGGAAGCUUCGGCCUCCGCAUCGAGAUGAGCCCGCGGCCCAUUAGCUUGUUGGUGAGGUAACGGCUCACCAAGGCUUCGAUGGGUAGCUGGUCUGAGAGGACGAUCAGCCACACUGGGACUGAGACACGGCCCAGACUCCUACGGGAGGCAGCAGUGGGGAAUCUUGCGCAAUGCGCGAAAGCGUGACGCAGCAACGCCGCGUGGGGGAAGAAGGCUUUCGGGUUGUAAACCCCUUUCAGUUGGGACGAAGCCUCAUCGGUGAAUAGCCGCGUGGGGUGACGGUACCUUCACA